rnacentral:lncRNA from 7 species
CUUCUGUUACAGAGGAAAUCUCCAGAAUUAUUAUGAUUUCACUGAUGACAUGUCCAAAUGAAGCUACCUCCCUUCAAGUUAGAACUCUAGACUACAGCUUCUUUGCUGCCUCUUUCUUCAGUAAUUGCUGUUUAUCUCAUAUAAUGUAAGAAGCAUAUGUUCCACAGGUCUGAUGGAACAAUGGAUAAGACUGUGUUGAAGACCACUGGCUGGCAUACUGAUGUUCAUUAUUACAAAAAGCCAUGGUAAGAGUAUGUUAUGCAGCUGAGAGUCAGCAGAAAAGACCGGGGACAAGUAAUCUUCUUUGCCUUAUACUGCAGGACUUUCUCAUUUUUAAGUUCAUAAAAAAUUGCAUCCAGUAAAAUCUGGCUGUAGAAUUAUAACAGCUUUAAUAAAUCAGUCUUUAUCAUAGCAAAAAGCAGUCUUUUAAACCCUGCAGGAUUAAACUUCACAUCUCUUCCAAACACCUUGUCCUAACUACCAUGUCUGGAAUAGCUUAAUAAUAUGGAGAAACAAGGCUAUAUAGCAUAUUAGCUGAUACACAUAUGAACAAGAGGGAGCUUAAAGCCAGCUCCGCGCUCUUUCCAGAAACAGAGAUGCAGACCUCAUGAUGUCAGCUCCUUGGACUUAAACAUUCCCUCUCUGAUGCAUUAUACACACUGAUAUGCUAAAUCAUUCGCUUUUAUCCAUGUUCUCCAAAUGGGAAUAUUCCCAAAUAAUUCAUGACAAGGAUGUAUUUUUUUUUGUCUUCCUCAAGAAAUUGCAUUCCCUACACUUUAAUUAGGGAAAUAAAUCUUUCUCUGAAUAU